rnacentral:rRNA from 1 species
CUAGCGUGGUUCGGAAUUACUGGGCGUAAAGCGUACGUAGGCGGCUUUGUAAGUUAGAGGUGAAAGCCCGGGGCUCAACUCCGGAAUUGCCUUUAAGACUGCAUCGCUUGAAUCAUGGAGAGGUGAGUGGAAUUCCGAGUGUAGAGGUGAAAUUCGUAGAUAUUCGGAAGAACACCAGUGGCGAAGGCGACUCACUGGACAUGUAUUGACGCUGAGGUACGAAAGCGUGGGGAGCAAACAGG